rnacentral:rRNA from 1 species
GAUGAACGCUGGCGGCGUGCCUAAUACAUGCAAGUCGAGCGAACAGACGAGGAGCUUGCUCCUCUGACGUUAGCGGCGGACGGGUGAGUAACACGUGGAUAACCUACCUAUAAGACUGGGAUAACUUCGGGAAACCGGAGCUAAUACCGGAUAAUAUAUUGAACCGCAUGGUUCAAUAGUGAAAGACGGUUUUGCUGUCACUUAUAGAUGGAUCCGCGCCGCAUUAGCUAGUUGGUAAGGUAACGGCUUACCAAGGCAACGAUGCGUAGCCGACCUGAGAGGGUGAUCGGCCACACUGGAACUGAGACACGGUCCAGACUCCUACGGGAGGCAGCAGUAGGGAAUCUUCCGCAAUGGGCGAAAGCCUGGCGGAGCAACGCCGCGUGAGUGAUGAAGGCCUUCGGAUCGUAAAACUCUGUUAUUAGGGAAGAACAAAUGUGUAAGUAACUAUGCACGUCUUGACGGUACCUAAUCAGAAAGCCACGGCUAACUACGU